GUAAAAAACACAACUCAUUAAUACAACACGCUAAAAGGGAUAAAACGACUACCAUAUGAAAUUAUACUGUAAUUUAUGUUUUGUCUUAUGUGGCGAAUCAAUAUAUAAAUUAGGAAACAAUUAGCAAUGUUAUGGACUUCUUCUUCUUCUUCUGGGGUGUUUAAGGGGGCUAGUUAGGCUGUGUAUCUAUUUUCUGUCUAUCAUGAUUUAUAAGUCCCUCGUAGCCCUGCAGCAGCCCGCCUCGAUCUCUACCGCCGCCACCACAACGCAAUACAACCCUUCGCUGCCUUUAUCACGCUCCUUAUCGAUCCCUGCACUCCCUCACGCCGACAAUACAAGGGCAAUGCACCGUGCUAGUUCAUCCCCAUGCUCGCAACACAACCACACUAUCCCCCUCUAAUACAAACUAUAUUAUAUUAUCCAUUUAUCAGAGUCCCGCGUCUCAGGGUGUGGCAUAAAGAAAUUUGUGGUUUCUUAUCUUGAUUUUCAUUCAAAGUAACUGGAGGGAAUAGGGAGGAUCGAGGAGGGUAAAGCAGAUUGCCCUUCUCCCCCGCUCUCUUGCCCUUACGCUAAAGUUUAGGAGCGACGUGAAGAAGGUUGAGGAAGCAGGAGAAGGAUCGAGGAGGAGGAACACAGAAGGGAGUAAGACGGGAAAGGAGAAGGAUCAAAAGGGAGUUAAGACAGGGAGAAGGAUAACAUGAGGGAGUUGAGACGGAAAGGAAAUAAUAUAAUGGAUUUAAGACAGGAAGGAGGAGCAGAAGGGAGUUUAAAAGGAAUCGGAGGAGGAGGAAUAGAAGGAAAUUAAGACGGGAAGGAGGAGGACCAGAUAGGAAUCAAAACAGGAAGGAACAGGAACAGAAAGGAAUUAAAAGAGGAAGGAGGAACAGAAGAGAGCUAAAACAGAAAGGAGGAGGAACAGAAGAGAGCUAAUAAAACAGGAAGGAGGAGGAACAGAAGAGAGCUAAUAAAACAGGAAGGAGGAGGAACAGAAGAGAGCUAAUAAAACAGGAAGGAGGAGGAACAGAAGAGAGCUAAUAAAACAGGAAGGAGGAGGAACAGAAGAGAGCUAAUAAAACAGGAAGGAGGAGGAACAGAAGAGAGCUAAUAAAACAGGAAGGAGGAGGAACAGAAGAGAGCUAAAACAGGAAGGAGGAGGAACAGAAGAGAGCUAAAACAGGAAGGAGGAGGAACAGAAAAGAGCUAAAACAGGAAGGAGGAGGAACAGAAAAGAGCUAAAACAGGAAGGAGGAGGAACAGAAGAGAGCUAAAACAGCAAGGAGGAGGAACAGAAGAGAGAAAAGAUGGGAUGAAGAAAGAAUCGCCUGAGGAGGAGGAAGGUGAAAGGAAGGAGGGAGGGUCUCUUGGACGUAUAAAAGAGGGGAGGCAAGACAAGACACUUUCGUUCUUUCACGGUCUUGGACAGGUUCUGAACGCGAUACGCUAUAGCUGUUCACAUAAGCAACUUCACUGGGGCUUGCUUUUUAUCGUGUGUGUGUGUGUGUGUGUGUGUGUGUGUGUGUGUGUGCCCUCCCUCAGCCGAUGACCCUGACAAAUAAAAAAAAUAAAAAAUAUAUAUAUACGAAAAUCCACAGCCAAAAAUGAAGUCAAAUCUAUCAAGAGUUCGGGAGUGAGAUAGAAAAAGAAAGAAUAAGUGAUAAAGCGUAAAAACAGGAAUAAAAAAAAAAUAGAAUAGAAUGGAAAACGAGGGUGAAAAAAAGUUAUUUGCAACAAGAAGGAGACAUUAAAAAAUUGAUAAAGCCAAAGCUGUUAAGAUUUACAUAGAUUUACAUAGAAAAGGAAAGAAUAAGUCAUAAAGCAACGAGAAGAAAAAGAAACGAGAACAAGAUUGGAAAAUGAGUGAAAAGAGAUCAUAUGUAACAAAAAUAAAACAUUAAAAAAUACAUUAAGCCAAACCUACCAAGAGUUCAGGAGUGAGUUAGAGAAGGAAAGAAUAAGUGUUUGAGAGUCAGAAAAAAAAAAAAAGCACAAGAAGAGAGACAGUGAAAAGAGAUCAUAUGUUACAGGAACAAAUGGAGAAAGUGAUAAUGAAGACUGGGGAUCGAGAAGAAAGUGAAAAUAGAAGAGCGAGAGGCGGAGAGAAAAGUAGGGAAGGUGACAAGUGUUUUGCCUCCCCAAUGAUCUGAGAGAGAGAGAGAGAGAGAGAGAGAGAGAGAGAGAGAGAGAGAGAGAGAGAGUUAAUUAUGACUUUCUAAUACUGCAUGUGAUAUUCUGUUCAUAGAUUUGUGCAGGUGCGCUGAGUGAGAUAAGCGAAAACAGACAAAAAUCAAACUUCAGUAAAACAAUAAUAAAGGUGAAGUAAACAAGUAAGCAGUAAUGAAAUAAUAAUGAAAGAGACAAUCAAUAACAAAAAGAAUCAAAGAGAAACAUGUAGUGGAAACGAGAAACAGUGUAAAGGAAAUAAUGACAUUCAAGUGGAUGAAAAAAAAAUAAUGUCAUCAUGAAGUUGUGCAAUUGAAAACUUAAAAGUAUAAGAAAAGAAAUAAGACGCGGAGGAAAUUAACAAAAUAUAAGGUAAACUAUGAAAGGAAUAAGUGAAACAAAGUGAGAUUAUAAGAGAUAUAACCAAAGGAAUAAAGUAAAGUAAAAAUAUAUGAAGAGAACAGGGAGGAGAAAAAUGUAAGAGGAAAAUCUAAGAAGAGAACAGAGGGAAGAACAAUAUCACCGGGACUAAAAUUACUGAUACCACACCGUAAAAAUAAAAAUAAAAAUACACUACAAUACAAUGCAACAAUGAAAAAACAAACUACAUCCUGAGCCCCAACAAUAAAAAAGUGUAUCAAGAACAAGAACAAGAUCCAGACGCAGCUUCCCUUCUUUCCUUCCUCCCUCCCUCCUCUCCUCCUCUCGUUCUCCUUUCUUCACAGGAGUGGUGAGUGUACGUGUGGUGAGGAUGAGAGCGGUUGUGGUAAUGGUGACGGUGGUGGUGGUGAUGAAGAUGGUGGUGCCCCUCGCGGCCGCCAACCCCGCCCUCCUCUUCUUCCUGCCCUCCUCCUGCUGCAAGAGUGGCUUCUUCCUCUGCUGCUCCUUAUUCUCACGCCCAGUGUCGUAUAGGCCGUGGCCGCUGCUGACCAACGAGGGCCUCACGCCGGAGCAGCUGCAGGACCUACAGGUGGAGCGACGCAAGCGGCGGGAGCGGUACAGGGACAGGGAGUUCAACAGGGACACGAGGAGGGGCAGAACAUGAC